CCUACGGGGCGCUGCAGUGAGGAAUAUUGGUCAAUGGGCGCGAGCCUGAACCAGCCAAGUAGCGUGAAGGAUGACUGCCCUACGGGUUGUAACCUUCUUUUAUAAAGGAAUAAAGUGAGGCACGUGUGCCUUUUUGUAUGUCCUUUAUGAAUAAGGAUCGGCUAACUACGUGCCAGCAGCCGCGGUAAUACGGAGGAUCCGAUCAUUAUCCGGAUUUAUUGGGUUUAAAGGGAGCGUAGAUGGGGUGUUAAGGCAGUUGUGAAAGUUUGCGGCUCAACCAUAAAAUUGCAAUUGAUACUGGCAGCCUUGAGUACAGUUGAGGUAGGCGGAAUUAGUGGUGUAGCGGUGAAAUGCUUAGAUAUCACGAAGAACUCCGAUUGCGAAGGCAGCUUACUAAACUGCCACUGACAUUGAUGCUCGAAAGUGUGGGUAUCAAACAGGAUUAGAUACCCGAGUAGUC
rnacentral:rRNA from 1 species